rnacentral:rRNA from 1 species
GAGUUUGAUCCUGGCUCAGGAUGAACGCUGGCGGCGUGCCUAAUACAUGCAAGUCGAACGCGGGCACUUGUGCCCGAGUGGCGAACGGGUGAGUAAUACAUAAGUAACCUGGCCUUUACAGGGGGAUAACUGCUGGAAACGGCAGCUAAGACCGCAUAGGUAGGGACACUGCAUGGUGACCGUAUUAAAAGUGCUGCAAGGCACUGGUAGAGGAUGGACUUAUGGCGCAUUAGCUGGUUGGUGAGGUAACGGCUCACCAAGGCGACGAUGCGUAGCCGACCUGAGAGGGUGACCGGCCACACUGGGACUGAGACACGGCCCAGACUCCUACGGGAGGCAGCAGUAGGGAAUUUUCGGCAAUGGGGGGAACCCUGACCGAGCAACGCCGCGUGAAGGAAGAAGGAAUUCGUUCUGUAAACUUCUGUUAUAAAGGAAGAAAGACGGAUGGAGGAAAUGACAUCCGAGUGACGGUACUUUAUGAGAAAGCCACGGCUAACUACGUGCCAGCAGCCGCGGUAAUACGUAGGUGGCAAGCGUUAUCCGGAAUUAUUGGGCGUAAAGAGGGAGCAGGCGGCAGCAAAGGUCUGUGGUGAAAGACUGAAGCUUAACUUCAGUAAGCCAUAGAAACCGGGCAGCUAGAGUGCAGGAGAGGAUCGUGGAAUUCCAUGUGUAGCGGUGAAAUGCGUAGAUAUAUGGAGGAACACCAGUGGCGAAGGCGACGAUCUGGCCUGCAACUGACGCUCAGUCCCGAAAGCGUGGGGAGCAAAUAGGAUUAGAUACCCUAGUAGUCCACGCCGUAAACGAUGAGUACUAAGUGUUGGAAGUCAAAUUUCAGUGCUGCAGUUAACGCAGUAAGUACUCCGCCUGAGUAGUACGUUCGCAAGAAUGAAACUCAAAGGAAUUGACGG